CGUGAGGGAAAGAUGAAAAGAACUUUGAAAAGAGAGUGAAAUAGUGCUUGAAACCGUUGGGAGGAAAGCGAAUGGAGCUGCUAUACAGACCAAGAAUUCUCAAAUCGGCCAUAAAUAAUUUUUAAGGAAUCCGUUGUAUUGAUCUUGGAUCUACGUUUGCAAAAACUUUUUGUCCUGACGGUUCAUAACUUUAGAGUUAGUCAUUAUAAUGCUACUUAUUGUUUUACAGUAUGGAAUGUUAUUUGAAAAU
rnacentral:rRNA from 11 species